rnacentral:lncRNA from 1 species
CAGGAAACUCAGCCUGGAAGGGGUGAGAGCCCAACAUAAGUAUGGAAAUGAGUGGAUGAGAACCUGCCCAUUCAGGCUUAGAUAAACCUUGCUGGGAUGUCUCACACUUGCCUUUCCAAAAGACCCAAGUUAGUUCCUUCCUCUGCUCUCCUGUCCUAGUUGCAGCACUGGCAUCUUGUGAGAAGAACUGAGGAAACCCAAGCAGGUGUUGCCAUCUACUUGGACAAGCUGAGCCAUAAGUCUGAGAUAUAUGUCCUGCAUCUGGAACAGGAGAUUGGGGUGACCAACCUGAAGCCAGGGCAUGUCAGGGUCUAUGACUACUACCAUCCAGAGGAGCAGGCCCUGGCUGAUUAUAAUGUUUUCUGCAGCUGAGCCCACAGGGAUCCCAGUAGUGGGAGAUGCCCCAGAUCAGCAGGGCUGCUGCAUUGUUGCUUCUGGGAUGAUGGGGCAUGUGCCUCCUGGAAAGUCAUGCCUCAGUGGGCUUGGGAUAUUGGUGCUGGGGCAGAUCUCAAGUUGGAUUUCAGGAUUAAACCUAGCCCAAGCCUUGUUCCUUAUCCUGACGGAAUAUUUUGUGGUGAAUUUAUUUGGGUGUCUGAUUAAUUCUGAUUGUUUUAAUCCAGAGAUUUUCCUGCUUGUAAAAAGAAUGAAAACAAAAUA